rnacentral:rRNA from 1 species
GGGUUGUGAGGUUAAGCGACUAAGCGUACACGGUGGAUGCCCUGGCAGUCAGAGGCGAUGAAGGGCGUGCUAAUCUGCGAUAAGCGCCGGUAAGGUGAUAUGAACCGUUAUAACCGGCGAUACCCGAAUGGGGAAACCCAGUGUGACUCGUCACACUAUCAUUAACUGAAUCCAUAGGUUAAUGAGGCGAACCGGGGGAACUGAAACAUCUAAGUACCCCGAGGAAAAGAAAUCAACCGAGAUUCCCCCAGUAGCGGCGAGCGAACGGGGAGGAGCCCAGAGCCUGAAUCAGCAUGUGUGUUAGUGGAAGCGUCUGGAAAGGCGCGCGAUACAGGGUGACAGCCCCGUACACAAAAGCGCAUGUGCUGUGAGCUCGAUGAGUAGGGCGGGACACGUGGUAUCCUGUCUGAAUAUGGGGGGACCAUCCUCCAAGGCUAAAUACUCCUGACUGACCGAUAGUGAACCAGUACCGUGAGGGAAAGGCGAAAAGAACCCCGGCGAGGGGAGUGAAAAAGAACCUGAAACCGUGUACGUACAAGCAGUGGGAGCNNNNNGGGCGUUAAGUUGCAGGGUAUAGACCCGAAACCCGGUGAUCUAGCCAUGGGCAGGUUGAAGGUUGGGUAACACUAACUGGAGGACCGAACCGACUAAUGUUGAAAAAUUAGCGGAUGACCUGUGGCUGGGGGUGAAAGGCCAAUCAAACCGGGAGAUAGCUGGUUCUCCCCGAAAGCUAUUUAGGUAGCGCCUCGUGAAUUCAUCUCCGGGGGUAGAGCACUGUUUCGGCUAGGGGGCCAUCCCGGCUUACCAACCCGAUGCAAACUGCGAAUACCGGAGAAUGUUAUCACGGGAGACACACGGCGGGUGCUAACGUCCGUCGUGAAGAGGGAAACAACCCAGACCGCCAGCUAAGGUCCCAAAGUCAUGGUUAAGUGGGAAACGAUGUGGGAAGGCCCAGACAGCCAGGAUGUUGGCUUAGAAGCAGCCAUCAUUUAAAGAAAGCGUAAUAGCUCACUGGUCGAGUCGGCCUGCGCGGAAGAUGUAACGGGGCUAAACCAUGCACCGAAGCUGCGGCAGCGNNGCUGGAGGUAUCAGAAGUGCGAAUGCUGACAUAAGUAACGAUAAAGCGGGUGAAAAGCCCGCUCGCCGGAAGACCAAGGGUUCCUGUCCAACGUUAAUCGGGGCAGGGUGAGUCGACCCCUAAGGCGAGGCCGAAAGGCGUAGUCGAUGGGAAACGGGUUAAUAUUCCCGUACUUGGUGUUACUGCGAAGGGGGGACGGAGAAGGCUAUGUUGGCCGGGCGACGGUUGUCCCGGUUUAAGCGUGUAGGUGUGUGUUCCAGGUAAAUCCGGUUCACUUUAACACUGAGGCGUGACGACGAGGCACUACGGUGCUGAAGCAACAAAUGCCCUGCUUCCAGGAAAAGCCUCUAAGCAUCAGGUAACAUCAAAUCGUACCCCAAACCGACACAGGUGGUCAGGUAGAGAAUACCAAGGCGCUUGAGAGAACUCGGGUGAAGGAACUAGGCAAAAUGGUGCCGUAACUUCGGGAGAAGGCACGCUGACACGUAGGUGAAGUGAUUUACUCAUGGAGCUGAAGUCAGUCGAAGAUACCAGCUGGCUGCAACUGUUUAUUAAAAACACAGCACUGUGCAAACACGAAAGUGGACGUAUACGGUGUGACGCCUGCCCGGUGCCGGAAGGUUAAUUGAUGGGGUCAGCGCAAGCGAAGCUCCUGAUCGAAGCCCCGGUAAACGGCGGCCGUAACUAUAACGGUCCUAAGGUAGCGAAAUUCCUUGUCGGGUAAGUUCCGACCUGCACGAAUGGCGUAAUGAUGGCCAGGCUGUCUCCACCCGAGACUCAGUGAAAUUGAACUCGCUGUGAAGAUGCAGUGUACCCGCGGCAAGACGGAAAGACCCCGUGAACCUUUACUAUAGCUUGACACUGAACAUUGAGCCUUGAUGUGUAGGAUAGGUGGGAGGCUUUGAAGUGUGGACGCCAGUCUGCAUGGAGCCGACCUUGAAAUACCACCCUUUAAUGUUUGAUGUUCUAACGUGGACCCGUUACCCGGGUUGCGGACAGUGUCUGGUGGGUAGUUUGACUGGGGCGGUCUCCUCCUAAAGAGUAACGGAGGAGCACGAAGGUUGGCUAAUCCUGGUCGGACAUCAGGAGGUUAGUGCAAUGGCAUAAGCCAGCUUGACUGCGAGCGUGACGGCGCGAGCAGGUGCGAAAGCAGGUCAUAGUGAUCCGGUGGUUCUGAAUGGAAGGGCCAUCGCUCAACGGAUAAAAGGUACUCCGGGGAUAACAGGCUGAUACCGCCCAAGAGUUCAUAUCGACGGCGGUGUUUGGCACCUCGAUGUCGGCUCAUCACAUCCUGGGGCUGAAGUAGGUCCCAAGGGUAUGGCUGUUCGCCAUUUAAAGUGGUACGCGAGCUGGGUUUAGAACGUCGUGAGACAGUUCGGUCCCUAUCUGCCGUGGGCGCUGGAGAACUGAGGGGGGCUGCUCCUAGUACGAGAGGACCGGAGUGGACGCAUCACUGGUGUUCGGGUUGUCAUGCCAAUGGCACUGCCCGGUAGCUAAAUGCGGAAGAGAUAAGUGCUGAAAGCAUCUAAGCACGAAACUUGCCCCGAGAUGAGUUCUCCCUGAGACUUAGAGUCUCCUGAAGGAACGUUGAAGACGACGACGUUGAUAGGCCGGGUGUGUAAGCGCAGCGAUGCGUUGAGC